rnacentral:rRNA from 1 species
CGGCGGACGGGUUAGUAACGCGUGGGAAUAUACCCUUUGGUACGGAAUAGCCUCUGGAAACGGAGAGUAAUACCGUAUGAGCCCUUCGGGGGAAAGAUUUAUCGCCAAAGGAUUAGCCCGCGUUAGAUUAGGUAGUUGGUGGGGUAAUGGCCUACCAAGCCUACGAUCUAUAGCUGGUUUUAGAGGAUGAUCAGCAACACUGGGACUGAGACACGGCCCAGACUCCUACGGGAGGCAGCAGUGGGGAAUCUUGGACAAUGGGGGCAACCCUGAUCCAGCCAUGCCGCGUGAGUGAUGAAGGCCUUAGGGUCGUAAAGCUCUUUCGCCUGUGAAGAUAAUGACGGUAGCAGGUAAAGAAACCCCGGCUAACUCCGUGCCAGCAGCCGCGGUAAUACGGAGGGGGUUAGCGUUGUUCGGAAUUACUGGGCGUAAAGCGCACGUAGGCGGACUGGAAAGUUGGGGGUGAAAUCCCAGGGCUCAACCCUGGAACUGCCUCCAAAACUAUCAGUCUAGAGUUCGAGAGAGGUGAGUGGAAUUCCGAGUGUAGAGGUGAAAUUCGUAGAUAUUCGGAGGAACACCAGUGGCGAAGGCGGCUCACUGGCUCGAUACUGAC